CAAUGCAGAUGCAUGUGUUCACUGCAGGAGGCGAGCAAGAGGUUCUGAUUGAAUAUCGAGGAGGAUUCAGGCAAUAGAAACCCAUGGCAGCGGCUGGUGACAUAUAGAACCAAUAGCAAUACAAAGUUCAGGUAGCAAAACUCAUGGAGAGGGUUGGAAGUCUGUUACAUACUAACCUCUGCGCAGAAGCUUUAGUGUUCCAAAAUCAUUAAAUGGUUUAAGCAGUUUUGUAGGAGAUUAGUCAUUCUGUUGUUUAUUUAGUCUUCCUUGGUAAGUUUGUGCAAACAUAGGAAGGUUUUCAUGACUAGUUGUAUUGGAUAAUUUAAACAAGAAGUUAUCAGUAAGAGAUGAAAGUUAACAAAAUGGAGUAAAAUCUGUUGUGUUCCUGCUAAUCUAAAUUUAAAAUCUUUAUUUGAAAGAUUUUA
rnacentral:lncRNA from 1 species